GACGAACGCUUUCUUCGUGCUUAACACAUGCAAGUCGAACGGAAAGGCCCUGCUUGCAGGGUACUCGAGUGGCGAACGGGUGAGUAACACGUGGGUGAUCUGCCCUGCACUUCGGGAUAAGCCUGGGAAACUGGGUCUAAUACCGGAUAGGAGCCAUUUUUUGUGUGAUGGUUGGAAAGUUUUUUCGGUGUAGGAUGAGCUCGCGGCCUAUCAGCUUGUUGGUGGGGUAAUGGCCUACCAAGGCGGCGACGGGUAGCCGGCCUGAGAGGGUGGACGGCCACAUUGGGACUGAGAUACGGCCCAGACUCCUACGGGAGGCAGCAGUGGGGAAUAUUGCACAAUGGGCGCAAGCCUGAUGCAGCGACGCCGCGUGGGGGAUGACGGCCUUCGGGUUGUAAACGCCUUUCGCUAGGGACGAAGCUUUUUGUGACGGUACCUAGAUAAGAAGCACCGGCUAACUACGUG
rnacentral:rRNA from 1 species